AUUGAACGCUGGCGGCAGGCCUAACACAUGCAAGUCGAGCGGAUGACGGGAGCUUGCUCUUGAUUCAGCGGCGGACGGGUGAGUAAUGCCUAGGAAUCUGCCUGGUAGUGGGGGACAACGUUUCGAAAGGAACGCUAAUACCGCAUACGUCCUACGGGAGAAAGCAGGGGACCUUCGGGCCUUGCGCUAUCAGAUGAGCCUAGGUCGGAUUAGCUAGUUGGUGGGGUAAUGGCUCACCAAGGCGACGAUCCGUAACUGGUCUGAGAGGAUGAUCAGUCACACUGGAACUGAGACACGGUCCAGACUCCUACGGGAGGCAUCAGUGGGGAAUAUUGGACAAUGGGCGAAAGCCUGAUCCAGCCAUGCCGCGUGUGUGAAGAAGGUCUUCGGAUUGUAAAGCACUUUAAGUUGGGAGGAAGGGCAGUAAGUUAAUACCUUGCUGUUUUGACGUUACCGGCAGAAUAAGCACCGGCUAACUCUGUGCCAGCAGCCGCCGUAA
rnacentral:rRNA from 1 species